UCUCAGCCCCACCUACCUCACAAGGUGUCUGUUGUAGGGAGAGGAAGGGAAAGGAGCUUGUCAGCCUCCUUGAGUCUCCUUACAGGAGAGAAAGGUGGGGAAUAAAUAUAAACUCUUCCUCUUAUAUGAUCCAAUGAGAG